ACAGGUGCCUGCUGGCCUGGAGCUGGAUACUUCUGCCUCUGCUUUCUUUGGGGGUUGAUGAUUCCUUAUGUUUAUGUUGGCGUGCCAGGCAAAUUGUUAAAGGUGAGAGAUGGAACUAAACCCCAAAGGAUUUUCUGCUCACUGAUGGCACGUGAGUUUUCUUGGGAAUUCUCUGCCAAAUCUGGUGAAUUGUUUUUGAAUGUGGCCAUGAGGAGAGUUGAACGUGCCCGUCCAGAUCUGCAAACAUGCGGUGCCAGAAGGAGAAGCCUUGAAAUGUAAACCGGGAUUUAUUCACCUGACUCACAGGUGUGUGUGCUGUGCCCAGGUCCCCUGUCCAAAUCCUGGACGGGGAGAAGCCAGGACUGCACAUUCCUUGUGAUAGGAAUUCAGGUUUUUCUGGGGGGGUCGGGGUGGGGGUUAAAUACAAAUGAGAUGCCAGGGAGGGAAUGGCUCCUACGUGUAAAUAUAUUUGCCCAAAAGGAGCCCUGCCCAGUCUGACUGCUGCCCAGUGCUGCUCCCUGACUGUACCCUCUCUUGGUGAGCCUCUGUCCCGCUGGCCGUGUUUUUGUUUUCUGGUUUUGUUUUUUUUUUUUUUUUUUUUUUUUUUUUUUUUUUUUUUUUUUUGUUUGUUUGUUUUUUUGUUUUUUUUUAUUUCAUCCUGCACCCCGAUCUUCAUUUUCUUCCCGUGUCCUCUCUGCUGCCACUCUCCCUUUCUGCCUCGUGUCCUCUGUGUCUGGUUUAUAAUGUGUAGACUAUAUGGAUAUAUGAAUUCCACGUAAGUAUGCCAAAUACAAAUAGAAAAAUGAAUUGAAAUAUAGUUUUAAAAUAAAGGGGUUUUAAUUUUCUGUUUUGUUAGAGGCCGGGCUUUUCCAUAAAGGAUAUAAAAAUGUGAAGAUAUAGAAUAUAUAAAUGUGUGUGUGUGUGUAUACAUAUAUAUACACACAUAAAAUACAAAUGUUAGUAAUAUAAAGAUUUCUUAGUAAAAAUAAUAUUGUACCCAUGUUGUAAUUGAUGCCAAUAUACAUUAAAUUCAAUAUCCAAAAAUAGGUAUUGAUUAUGAAUAUAAAUUAACAAACAUAUAUAUAUAUAAAGAAAACUUGAUGAAUGUGUGGUCAGUUGCUUAUGGCACCCAGGACUCCUCCACAAACACAGCUCAUGUAUGUGGGCACUUGUGCUGAGAAAUGAGGACUAAGGACACACUCUUUGUGCCACAACAAUUGGCCACCUCACCUUGGUCACCCUGAGUGCUUUGGGUGGAACAGGAAAUCAGGUUCCAUUGAGAAGCAAGAAAAGAAGCUAGUGAGCAAAAAUAAAUCAGGGAUAAACAAGGAGGAACCAGAUUUUGGGGGCGUAAAGCACAAAGUUAUUUACGUGAUGCAAACACAAGAAGUUGCGAAGCUUGUUUGGACCAUGGGUAGGGGAAGAGAGAAAAACUUUUGGCUCUAAAAGUCACAUUUUUAACUAGUGAAAUACAGAUUUCCACAUUCUGUGUGCCUUCCCCACCUUUUUCUUAUGCUCCUAAUGUUCCGGGGCAAAAAAUACAACCACCCAAAAUAUCUGAAUAAAAAUCAAUUUGAAAAUGGGAA